GGCUGUCCUCUUUCCUCCCCUCAGAGGCAGGCAGAGCAGGAAGAAGCAGACCUGAAGCUGAAGAAGUCCUUCUGAUCCUGGAUAAGGAAGCUUCAAGAGAACAAUGCUCCUGAAAGGCUCGAGAGAAAAGAAAGUCUGGACUGACAAUAAAACCUGCCAUUUAUUCAUGCAUCUUCUCUCUUCUUCCUCUGGCACUUAUUUCUAACAUCCAUGGACCAGGCCUCCCAGUUGCCAUGGAGACGCAGUGUGCAGCUGGAUGGUGAAUAAACUGAGGCUGAAACCUGCUCCAAACCAGGUCACCUGGAGUUGAACAGACAAGUUCCUGCUAUUAUUAAGUUCACGAAGGGUGGAAAGACACAGGACUAUCUUAACCAACCUGUAAUAAAACUGGUUCCUCUUCCUGUCUAUCUGCCUGUGUUUGUUUCUACUCCCAGCCCAGGCAUCCCCAGAGAAGCUUGGGGUAGGGAAGGGAGACAGACUCUAUAUUAAAAAAAAAAAAAAAAGAAAAAGAAAAUCUGACCUUUUCUCUUAGAGGUGUGGACUCCUUCAAUGGUCCUCUCUUCCCUCAGCUCUUAGAUGGACUAGCAGGUCCUUCUGGUUCUGGCUUGUAUUUCUGCU